GUUAGGAAUAUUGGACAAUGGGCGCAAGCCUGAUCCAGCCAUGCCGCGUGAGUGAUGUAGGCCUUCGGGUUGUAAAGCUCUUUAGUCCACGAAUAUAAUGACUGUAGUGGAAGAAUAAGCCCCGGCUAACUUCGUGCCAGCAGCCGCGGUAAUACGAAGGGGGCGAGCGUUAUUCGGAAUCACUGGGCGUAAAGCGUGCGUAGGCUGUUUUGUAAGUCAGAAGUGAAAGCCCAGGGCUUAACCCUGGAAUUGCUUUUGAAACUACAAGACUCGAAUUCGGGAGAGGAUAGCGGAAUUGUCAGUGUAGCAGUGAAAUGCGUAGAUAUUGACAGGAACACCAGUGGCGCAAGCGGCUAUCUGGACCGAUAUUGACGCUGAGGCACGAAAGCGUGGGGAGCAAACAGGAUUAGAAACCCGAGUAGUCC
rnacentral:rRNA from 1 species